rnacentral:rRNA from 1 species
GACGAACGCUGGCGGCGUGCUUAACACAUGCAAGUCACGGGGGCCCGCAAGGGUAACCGGCGAACGGGUGCGUAACACGUGAGCAACCUACCCAAGUGUGGGGGAUAGCCGGUCCAACGACCGGGUAAUACCGCAUACGCUCUCCGAGGGACAUCCCUUGGUGAGGAAACCUCCGGGGCACAUGGAGGGGCUCGCGGCCUAUCAGCUAGUUGGUGCGGUAACGGCGCACCAAGGCUAUGACGGGUAGCUGGUCUGAGAGGAUGGCCAGCCACAUUGGGACUGCGACACGGCCCAG